UGAGCAAUCUGCCCUUCUCAUCGGAAUAAGCGUUGGAAACGACGUCUAAUGCCGAAUACGACCUCCUUUCGCAUGAUCGGAGGUGGAAAGCUCCGGCGGAGAAGGAUGAGCUCGCGGCCUAUCAGCUAGUUGGUGUGGGUAAUGGCCCACAAGGCGACGACGGGUAGCCGGCCUGAGGAGGGUGACCCGGCCACACGUGGGACUGAGACNCGGCCCAGACCUCCGUACGGGAGNAGCG
rnacentral:rRNA from 1 species